UGAUAGAGGCGCGGUUCUCAUCAGUACCCCGUGCGCAACCGGGAAGGGGCGCGGGCGAAAGGGUCGAACCGCCGAAGGGCGAAGGCCUCCCAACCUUCGCGCCUGGGGCGCGGCAGAACAUGUCGCGCACUGUCGCUUUCGCGGAGAGCUAUC
rnacentral:ncRNA from 1 species